GACGAACGCUGGCGGCGUGCUUAACACAUGCAAGUCGAACGGAAAGGCUCCAGCUUGCUGGAGUACUCGAGUGGCGAACGGGUGAGUAACACGUGGGUAAUCUGCCCUGCACUCUGGGAUAAGCCUGGGAAACUGGGUCUAAUACUGAAUAUGACCUUUCUCCUUAUGGGGUUUGGUGGAAAGUUUUUCGGUGUAGGAUGAGCCCGCGGCCUAUCAGCUUGUUGGUGGGGUGAUGGCCUACCAAGGCGACGACGGGUAGCCGGCCUGAGAGGGUGAUCGGCCACAUUGGGACUGAGAUACGGCCCAGACUCCUACGGGAGGCAGCAGUGGGGAAUAUUGCACAAUGGGCGGAAGCCUGAUGCAGCGACGCCGCGUGAGGGAGGACGGCCUUCGGGUGGUAAACCUCUUUCAGCAGGGACGAAGCGUAAGUGACGGUACCUGCAGAAGAAGCACCGGCUAACUAUGU
rnacentral:rRNA from 1 species